rnacentral:piRNA from 1 species
UACAGACUGAGGACCUAAGAUGAUUUU